UUUUUUUUUUUUUUUUUUUUUCAAAUUCCAUUACUCUUAAGGGAAGUAUCAGACUCAUUUGAAAAAACUCAUUCUUAGAAUAAUAUGCAUCUAUCAGGAAUAUCAGAAAUAUACUCAAAGUAUGUAUUUAUCAAUUUAGAGCAUGAUUUCAGAAGCUUUCUCUAUCAGGGUAAUUUUCUUCCUCCUGACACAAGGCAUAAAACUUCCACUGACUUUGAAGAGCCCAGCGUUAGGUCAACAUGAAGCGCUUUUGAAAAUUGCAAGCUUAAGUUAACUUUAAACUCUAAAUUUAUGUUUACUCAGUCACAAUUUUCAUUGUUCUCACUGGAAUCAUUACAGGAAUAUGUAAGUCUGUUAAUAAAUAUCUCAUUCCUUUAAGAAUAGCAUACCCCAGACUAGCUUUAAAUAAUUCAUCCCUUUAAGAAUGACAUAUCCCAUCUAUCUCUAUAUAUUUCCCUAGACUCAACAGUUUCGACAACUGCUUGGAAAGAAUUUAUUUCCUUCAAAAUCUGUAGUCCCAUUGUGUGUUGUAUUAGCCGGAAAUGGGACAUGGACCUGGAUCUGCUGCAGGAAAGCAUCUCCUGACGGAUAUGAUUUUACUGAAUGUCAUAUAAAGCCCUGAAAGAUUCUUGGUCUAGGGUUUCUUUUUUGACAGGUAAUAUUCCACCAAAGCAUGAUCUUCUCUCCAAUGGCCGUAAAUGAUCUCCAAGUGAAUGCCUUUGCAUUUUUUUGUGUCCAAGAUUAAUCCAAGUUUUUGAGAAAAGUAAUUGUCAUUUAUCAAGGUAGCAUCUACACCCUCAGGUCAGAGCUGGGGCCCCAGUCUGAUAGGUGUGUCCAUACACAUAAUGAAAACACAUUUCCUGUUUCAAGAAGUUCAUCAUUUGUGCGCAGUCAAAUGUAAUGAAAAAUAGGUACUAAAGCAUUUUUCAUGCAUUUGAGGCACUUUUGACACACUAAGGAUUCCACUUAGCAGCAGAUCCCAUCUCCACCUGGAAACUUCAGCAGUUUCCUUGUCUAGGCUUUACUGGCCACUGUUAAUUUCUCCCAAGCAUUAAGUCUCCACAUAAAGAUAGGAAAUAUUUAUUAAGGGGAAAAAGGAGCAGGCCAUUAGUUUCCAAACAAGUUACUGCCAUUCACCACAGCAAUUCAUGUCAUAAACCUUUGCUUCAGUUUCCUGAAGCAGUGCAAUAUCCUACAAACAAGUGCUUCUUUGAGAUCUCUUUCAUUGUCGCAUCAGAGGGUAGUGAGGCAUUGAGGUGCAAAAGCACAGAGCUCUUUUCAGCUGCCAAGAGCUUUUGAGAGGAUAUACUUUACCACCCAAAAAUAUGUUGUCCUCUUCUCUAGUCCUGUUGUGCCCCUUCUCUGCAGACUGCAUACCAGCAAUCAGGGAUGCAGCCCUCACCAGUCUGGACCUUCAGGCCAAAAUGCCACUGCAGUCUUCAGCCUCCUCCCCCAGAAUAGGCUUUACUGCCCUGACAUUAACAAUUUUAGACACGUCACAGCUUCAUGCCCUGUUGGUCAUCCUAUUCUCUCCCCAGAUGCUGAAAGGCAGCACUGUCACUGUGCUGCAGAAGCAAUGCUGUUGAGUGGAGGAUCACUGAGACCUCUCUGUUGGAAAAAGGAUCCCUUUCCCUUUGCUUUCAGGGGUAGGUGUCAGCUGCAACACCUCAUGUUUCAAGGCUGGCAUUUUGAAUAGUGUGUGUCUUCACUAACCCAGUUGCACUUGGCAAACUGCAGUUCUUCAGGCACACAGCAAAGAAAACAAUGUUUUAUUAUCCUCCACCUACAGCUAAUGACAUCAGAGGGUCAGGCAAACAAAAUCUGCUCCUUGCCCUUGCAUUCCUCUUUCUCCAGUUUCAGUAAAUGACAGCAUAGAGGUUGUCCUCCCCCGUACAGUCCCUUUAAGUGAUGCUCAGUCUACAUGGCUUCAUACCUGUAUUAAAAGGUUUUCCAAAGGCCUAUCAUAGAUCUACAGCCCUGCCACAGGCAUCCCUGGAAAGUUAUUCAUUCCUCUUCCAUAGAAAAUGGUAGUACUCUGUAACUUCCUUUCUCUCACUCCUUGUCCUCUACCUAGUCUAUAUGUGCAAAAUCUUUGGUCAUACAUCAACUAGUAAGUGAAAGUAUGAUGUGAUCAGAGCCUCUCUUAUAAUUUUUAUCACUCUAAGUAUCCAUAGGUGGAUAAAACAGAUGGGAAAGAACUGUGAGAAGACUGUGAUUAGCAUAAUUGCUAGUGAUCACAUCAGACAAUCUGCGUAACCACAGUCAAGCAUUUUUGUAAGUAUUGCUAGGGAGAUUAAUAAGAAAAUCAGUGUUGGGAGAGCCACUAAAGCAGAAGCUAUCUUUUUAUGAAGGUUACUUUAGGGCUCCAUACAGGACUGAAAUGCAACAAAAUUCUCAAGGCUCUCUGUUUGAAAGAUCUUUGUACAAGAAAAGAAGCAAGUCCAAAUACCUUCAUUGUUCCCUCACAUUUUAUUGUGGCCUGUGACCACUUUACAGGUGGUAUUUCCAGCAUUUUCCUGGAUAAGUAUCCAGUCCAGACCCAAAGACAUGAAGCAAGGAAAAUAAGAGAAAAUGGGAAAGAGAAGGAGGAAUUCUAUAAAUUACACUCCUGUUCAAGCUGGUAAUAUUUUGGGGUUUUCCUUUGAGGGAAAAGAAAAGAAAAAAAAACAAAAAAACCAAAAAAAAAAACACUGAAGAAAAUAGGAGGCCUAAGAAAGGAUUUUGUGCAACUAAGCCAGCAUUAUGAAGCAGCUCAUGAAGAGCUGCUAGAAAGAAGGAAGCUGUUGGGAUAGACCAUGGGGUGGCCCUUGCCAAGUGAAUCAGGCUGAGCUUGUUGUGACUUUCCUCUCUCUUACCGUAUGUACACAUGUACAACAGGGCACCGGAGUAGACUGGGGGAAAUACAUGUGUUAAGCUGCAAUGAUGUGCUUAAAACCCCAAGAGAUACAAAUAGAAAAUGUCCAUAAUCAGGUGUGCUCUCAGUCCCUGGAAUUCCACCGGCUUGCUCUUUGAAGUAGGACACAUCAGAAGCACACUUGUUCAUUCCAUGCUGUCUGCAAUGUAUCAGGAGAAGCUUUUGUUUCUCACCGUGCAUGACAAGUGCCAAGAGCAACAGGGUCGCAGUAUGAGCUGGGCUACUGGGUGUUAGAGCAUUAUGAGUAUUUAUCAUGCUGGCUUUAGAGUACAGCUCAGUGAGAAUUCCAAUAUGCAAAACUGAGUCUUUUUUUGUGAGAAGCUAUCAUACUUGCACUUAGACGCAACCCCUGAAAUUCAGCUGGACCAAAGCCCCAACCUUGCACAUCUGUCUUUUCACUUGGUCCACAAAAUUCCAUCUCGAUUUUGAUAAGAUAUGAAUUCUGGCUUUUGUACUAUCCAGCUGCACCCAAAACUUUUCCAGCUUAUGUUCCCAGGGCAAAUUUGGCAGAAAAAUUUCACAUUAAAAAAAUAAAGUAUACAAAUGACUCCUAGGUAUGAGUUUUCUACGGCAAAGUCUUGCAGAGUAGAAGCAGAUACUACAGUAAAUGCAGCUGGACUGGGUCAAGUUCCCCUUCAAAUGUUUUUAUCCCUGAAGUUCACUUCUUAGGCCCUAAACAGAACAGAAACUCUAUGGACAGGACACAGGCAUGGCUGCUCCUUAAGUCUGCACACAGCAUCCCCAAGUCACCGCCCAUGCUUGGGGGAGUAGGAUUUUUUACUUCCAUGGACCAAUUUAUUCCAUUCUGUACCCACAUGGCUCUGGUGUUAAGCACCUAAAGUCAAACAGCAUUCAUUUUGCAUGCAAAUGCUGAGGGCUCUGGCUUCAGGUUUUGCAAGUUAUCCACAAUAGGGGAAUUAUCACAGUAGUUCCCAGCAUCUGUAUUAUCCUCUUUACUUCCUCUACACCUUGUCAUUUCUUAAUCUUAGGCAGAAAUACAAAUCACCGCCCUCUCUAUGCAGGUUGUUUAAUAUGCACUUCAACCCAUGGCAACUUCUCUGUUUCUGUUUUGAUUCAUCAACAUCCACUAAGAACUUUCUAAUGGUCUUUUCUUCAUCUCUCGCUAGACUGUGUCAACUUUUUCUUUACAUUUCCCCACCAGUUUCCUUUUCUUCAGAUUACCAAGCAUGUAAUGUCUCAUCGCUUCUGUUUGCUUUUUUAACCUUUUCAUACCAGAACUGCCCUCUUGCAACCACUGCACUUCAGUUGUCAUACAGUGACUGACCUCAGCAUCUUCCUGCUGUUAGAUUUGCAAACACACCCUCAUAACCUUCCCAUGCUGCCCAUAACCUUGUCUUCUUCAAAAUUAUUAGCCUUCUGGUAAUAACCACAAAAAAUAUAUAUUAAAAAAACCAAAACAAUAGAAACCUAACUGUAACUACCAGUGAAGCUCAUAUGUGUAUUCACUACACAAAUCUAAAGUACUUGAGGGAGGACAUUUUACUUCACUACCUUUUCCCAGGACCUAGCUCUCUGCCACCACAUAACAAAGCUGAAGAAAUAAGUCAGAAAAUUAAGUAUUUACAGUUCUGCAGCUAGAACUGACCCCACUUGUCAGUGGAGUCACUUGUUAGGUGAUCUUAAUUAUAACUUCACAUACUAGGUCUUUUCUCUUCAGAAGAAUGUCUCCCUACAGAGUGCACAGCGCUGAUGCACAAAGAGAAAGACAUGGCAGCUUAGAAAGUGUCAUGUGUACACGUGCCCGGACUUCUCAGCUCAGCAAGGUUAUUAGUAAAUGAAAAUGUGCCUUUUCUAGUGGGAACACCAGGCAGCUAGCUCCUCCAAGGUCUAUAUACCCUGUAAUUAAUAAAAGUGCACCCUACAAGACCUUCUUUAAGGUUUUCUUCCAUUAUCCUUCAGGCACCCCUGAGGGACAGCACACUCUGAAGUCCCACAGAGGUGGGAAAUCCGGCCCUGACUUUCCUGUGGUGCUCUCCACCAGCCUGGCCCCUGGCCCCUCUGCCACCAUGCCAGCACUGGUCCAACAACCACCUGCGCCUGAGGGGUGGGAAUCACAGAGCAGAAGAGAGGCAGCUCCGAUGAGAUUCCCAAACUCAAAAAAGCCCUGCUAAGCGGCACACUCCCACUCUCCCUAUGUGCAUCUUAGCACUGCAACCUCUUCACAUCUCACGAGCUAGCGUGGAACAGAUGCGUCCCCCCGUCAGGAGGCAGCGACACCCCUCCCUCCUCACAUGACUCAUAUGAUGUCAGAGUUGUCCUUGUCACCGACCCCAAUUCAGGCUCACACGUCAAGGACACGCUUGCUUGGUGGAUCCUCGGCAUGAUGGAUAAUCCAUCCCCUCUCACGUGGGUUUCCUACAUCCCACCUUGCCACAGAAAAGAGAGGACUUGUUCUAGUUGAGGAAACUUGGCUCCUCUGGCAGCUCCAGUGGCACAGCCGUGCCGAGAAAUGCUGGCAGAGGCUACAAGGUUUUGAAAGCUAGGUCAGCAUCUCCCUGUACAACACCAAUGCCACCCUCAAUCAAUGUCCAAUACAGAGAGGCAAACGAUUUUUAUAGAACAGUCAUGUACUUUCAUGUGAUCUAAUAUUAGCUGUGCUGUAUGUAAUUAUUUUAUGUAGUACUCUGCGUUCUGCUUGCACUCGCAUCGAUAUGUCUAGUAGAUAUUUGUAGUUCCUAGUAAUUUAAUAGCUAGUUUGUGCCCUAAAGCAUAAAAACAUUUCUACCCUAUCUAAAGUAACCGUGGGUGGUGUUAUCCAUAUAAAAUCUUUGAGUCCUAAUGAGCUUUUGUUCUCAAGUUAUAACCCAAAAAUAUAUCACCCGGCUGUUCCGUUCCCUGCUGAAGAUCCUCACUAUGAUGUGAAAGGAAAAGAAAUUAAAACCUUAGAUAAAUGUGUUUGAUCUGCCACAAAGAAGGAAAAUACAUCCCCUCUGUAUUGUAUCUUGUUGGGAUUUUUUCACAGACCCAUUUUCUCUCAUUACUAAAUGUUUAAAGGCUGAAGAUGAGCUGCAUUUUUGCAAACCCUGUUCUGGAGACAGCUGUGGUCUGAGCUGUGCAGGAAGGAGCGGCACACUGGUCCUGCUGCCCUGGGCUGAGGUGGCAUUAGCUGCUAGAGCCUGGACAUGAUGCUUGAAGCAGCACAGUGUUUGGGGUUCCGAAGGGGUAAAAGGCAGCAAGUUCCCUUGUCCUUGAAGAAAUGUUCUUAGGAGACCUCCCACCUUUCUGCCUGGGGAAGAGGAGGCUCUGAGAUGCACAGGGAGACACUGGAAAGAGCAGGUCUCCCAGGCUCUCCACUCUGUGGCAAGAAAAGCCCGUCCCUUGCCCGCAGCGAGGCUUUGUUUCACCCUCACAACAAUCUCGUUACUGUGAGUAACGGGGAGUACGGCGAUGCCAGCAUGUUCCCUUUGCCUCUUCCUUAACUUGUCUUUAUUCACAGCCAUGGAGGCAGGCCAGAGCCAGGCACUCACCAGGAGCCAGGCUCAAGCCUUCCUUGGCGUGCCCACCUCUGCUCUUUAGGAGAGGGUACAGGCUGUACAAUACAUCAUCUGUUAUGCAAUGAUACCCGGCGCAUGGUUCCGCUUUGCUUCCCGGCGGCAGGAAUAUAUCACUGCUCCUUCCCUUCCCCUCCCAUCCCAUCCCCCAGCCCCAUUCAUCCCCACCACUCACUGUUUACUAGCGAAGCCCUGCCCGCUCUGUCAGGAGCACCCCAGUUCACAACCAAGCAGCCGCGUGGCUUGUGGUAUUUUGGCCAGGGGAGGAGGCAUGCCAGGGAGCCAGCUUGUAAGAGGGAGUUUUUUGGGGCCCGUUUCAGUUUCAGCCACUGCUCUCCAGUAAAUAGUUGCACUCUACCACUUAAACCAGGUCGAAAUGUGCCUGGCCCUACUUACUCCCCAUCGCAUUUGGUUAUGUCAUAUUUUAAAUAAAAUUAGAAAUGUGAGAAAUAACACUGAGAGUUUAUUAUCCCAAAGGAAAUAAAAAGUGUCCUGUCAACUAAAUUGCAAAAAAGCCCAUGAUAAAAUUCCUGGAUGAACAUCUUCUGCAACAUCAGAGACAUUUAUACACAGUUUUGACCUUAGAGGUAACAUCCAUCUCCAAACACACAAGGGAAAGUGCCUCUGAUGGUAAAACCUGGCUGCUUUACUAAGAGUGAACAGCAAGUCAAAGAUAUUCAGCUAGGAAGAAAAUAAUUCCCUGUCCAAUCAAUGCAACAGGUAAAAAGUGCCAGCAAAUCCUGUCUGCUCAGUUCUAAAGAGAUUUCUUAGUAUCUAUGCUUUGAAACAAUGAAAUCUAGAUACAGUGUUAACUGUCACUAGAAAGUAAAUGAAGACAGUGGAAAUGAAUUCUUGCACUCACAGUUAAGAAAGCUUCUGGCAUUCAGCAUUAUCAGUAAAUCCCAGAAGCAGCAAUCAGCAGGUAGUCUGUUCAGUGUAACUAGAUAGUGCCAUCACAUACGAGGAUUUAAGAAAUGCAUCGCCCCAGAGAGAUACCAAUUACAAGAUAAUGUACUUCUGCUUUCUGUGAUUGUGGGGAAAACUGUAAUAAAAUCGUAAUCCCAUCCUUGCCAUGCCACACCUUAUAGCACCUUUCCUUAUUGCUUGAGCCAAACAGAGAUAUGGGAAUUAGGAACUGGUGAGGAAACACUGUUUUGCAAAAUAAACAAAACAAAACAAAUAGCACAAAUAUUUGAAUGUGCAAAUUCUGGCAUUUCACUGUUUUUGUAGCAAAAACCUCCAAGAUACUGUAUCAUAGAUAAUAGUCAAGUGAGUAUCACACUCCUUUGAUUAGCUCAAGGAAUAAGGCUUAGGAUUUUUUGAGUUUAGAGGAAUACUGUCUUAAACCAUCUCCAGCAUCUCAGGUGAAAGCUGUUGUCAACCAGAGAAAAAAUAACCUCAUUCUCCCAGAAAAAGCUAUUCUAACCACUGAAUCUUACAGCGAAAAUUCAUCAAAAUUGCUCAGAUUACAGAAAGAAAUUCUCAUCUCAACAAAGGGUAUUUUUCUAUCAUUAGAAUUGUGCAGCCUGCUUUACAAGUGUAUUUCCAGCACACACUUUGCUGUGUUUGCAAGAGCACAGAGGCUGCUGAGCUGUUUGAGAAAGUUCUUUGAGGAAACAGUUCAGCUGCAGACAUCUGCACCAGCAAGGAGGUUCUACCCUUUCAGAAUGUUUAACAUGAAUCCACAGUACAUUGUGAAAAAAAAAAAAAAAAAAAAUAGCGCACUGGGAUACUCAGGGGCAGCAAAAAGUUGAAUAUUCAUAUCAAAUAUAAAAACCAAAAUUAAGAACAGAGUGAGAGUGACUAAUACAAGUGCACAUGACUACAAUACAACUGUGCCUACAGAACCCUCCUCUGAGGGUGCUGGGGAAAAGACUCUGUGGCCCUUCUUUUCAGUAUCAGCCACUCAACUCUUUCUGAUGAGCUGCCAGAUAUUUGCCAGGGCUCCUCUCUGCCCCAGGAGCUGUACUUCAAGCAUGCCCUCCAACACCCAGGUAUGCACACCCAGCUCCAUUAACAAGGAGAACCAAAUAAAUACCUUUCCCUCACCUCCUACUUUUUUCCCUCUUCCCAGUUCUCUCCCUUCCUAUAUUUUAGCUGGGGAGUUGAAGAAAGCAUAGCAGCUGAGCCACUGACAGCCAUACAAGCACAGUCCUAUAAUGAUAAAGGGGGUGAAUAAACAAGUUGUAUUCAUCCUUUUUAUCCUGAAACUUCACUGUCUGCUACUCUUGGUCCUCUUUAAUUCUUGCUAUCUCACUCGCCCCCUUUUUUCUCUUGUUGCUUCUUUCUCUCUUCCUUUGGCUUUGUAGCUUUAAGUCUUUCAUAUCUGGGGGAAUGCAUUCUUUCUUCUUUCCCAAAUGCACUCUACUCCUUUCUCAAAUCUCUUCCAAACACCCACCCUCUACAUAUAUAAGCCUCAUCUCUCCUCAUUCGUAUUACAAUGAACUGUUCUGCUUUGUUGUGCCUUGCUCACACUGCAUAUCUCUAUUUUAUAGAGCAUUUAUGCCACCGUGCACAUAAUACAUAACUGAGCAUUUCAGCAUGGAAGCAAUUGCCUCUCACACUGAAGUAAAUCUGGAAUUGACAGUUCUAAAAUGCUUAUAACUGCAGGACUGUCUUUCAUAGACUCACAGAUUUUAAGGCCAGAUGGGACCAUUAGAUCAUCUAGUCUGAGCUCAUCUGAAAACCUGCUCUGGUUCUUCCCUAAUAAUGGGUGUCCAUGCGAUGCCAUCAGGACCUACCAGCACAGCAUCCCAGGAUUCGUGUUUCAGUUGUCACUAUGCACAGUGCAGCCAGCGUAUCAGCUGCAUGGAGCAUCCUUCCAACUCCAAACCGCCGAGGCACUCGGAGCUGCCACCUUCCUCCAGCAAUCCUACUUGCACAAAGGAAACAGGUAGGCAAGAAGGGAGAUAAAAAGGAAACCAGCCUUUUUAGGGGGGGAAAAAAAGCCUCCAAAGCAGUUCCCAGAAAAAUCACAUACACCAUUUUUGCCAUUCCUAUUGCAACACAGCUGAAAUUUCAAGCAUAAAAGCCCAAAUCAAAACCAUAAACAAUUCCUGCACAAAGAAGCUAACUGAAACACACCAACAAAAAAAAAAAAAAAAAAAAAAAA
ensembl:lncRNA